GCGCAAGAGGGCAAACCCAGUGCUUGCACUGGGGGUUGUAGGACUGCAAUGUGCAAGAGGUAAGUUUAGCAGAACAUUCUGGAAAGUAUAACCAUAGAGGGUGAUAGUCCCGUAUGCGAAAAACAAACCUUAGCUAGCAGUAUCCUGAGUAGGGCGGGACACGAGGAAUCCUGUCUGAAUCCGGGUCGACCACGAUCCAACCCUAAAUACUAAUACCAGAUCGAUAGUGCACAAGUACCGUGAGGGAAAGGUGAAAAGAACUGAGGUGAUCAGAGUGAAAUAGAACCUGAAACCAUUUGCUUACAAUCAUUCAGAGCCCUAUGUAGCAAUACAGGGUGAUGGACUGCCUUUUGCAUAAUGAGCCUGCGAGUUGUGGUGUCUGGCAAGGUUAAGCAAACGCGAAGCCGUAGCGAAAGCGAGUCUGAAUAGGGCGCUUAGUCAGAUGCUGCAGACCCGAAACGAAGUGAUCUAUCCAUGAGCAAGUUGAAGCUAGUGUAAGAACUAGUGGAGGACUGAACCCAUAGGCGUUGAAAAGCCCCGGGAUGACUUGUGGAUAGGGGUGAAAGGCCAAUCAAACUUCGUGAUAGCUGGUUCUCUCCGAAAUAUAUUUAGGUAUAGCGUUGUGUCGUAAUAUAAGGGGGUAGAGCACUGAAUGGGCUAGGGCAUACACCAAUGUACCAAACCCUAUCAAACUCCGAAUACCUUAUAUGUAAUCACAGCAGUCAGGCGGCGAGUGAUAAAAUCCGUCGUCAAGAGGGAAACAACCCAGACUACCAGCUAAGGUCCCUAAAUCUUACUUAAGUGGAAAACGAUGUGAAGUUACUUAAACAACCAGGAGGUUGGCUUAGAAGCAGCCAUCCUUUAAAGAAAGCGUAAUAGCUCACUGGUCUAGUGAUUUUGCGCGGAAAAUAUAACGGGGCUAAAGUAAGUACCGAAGCUGUAGACUUGCACACAACUUAGAUUAUUUAAGUUUAGAAUAUGAGAAACUAAGUUAUAUGUUUAGUUAUAUUUUUACUGAUUUUUAUAGAGUAAAGAUAGAAAUAAAACUUAGUAAAAUCAGUAAAAAUAUUCUUAGACUAAAGUUAAGUAGUUUAAGUUGUGUGCAAGUGGUAGGAGAGCGUUCUAUUUGCGUCGAAGGUAUACCGGUAAGGAGUGCUGGAGCGAAUAGAAGUGAGCAUGCAGGCAUGAGUAGCGAUAAUUAAUGUGAGAAUCAUUAACGCCGUAAACCCAAGGUUUCCUACGCGAUGCUCGUCAUCGUAGGGUUAGUCGGGUCCUAAGUCGAGUCCGAAAGGGGUAGACGAUGGCAAAUUGGUUAAUAUUCCAAUACCAACAUUAGUGUGCGAUGGAAGGACGCUUAGGGCUAAGGGGGCUAGCGGAUGGAAGUGCUAGUCUAAGGUCGUAGGAGGUUGUACAGGCAAAUCCGUAUAACAAUACUCCGAGAACUGAAAGGCUUUUUGAAGUCUUCGGAUGGAUAGAAGAACCCCUGAUGCCGUCGAGCCAAGAAAAGUUUCUAAGUUUAGCUAAUGUUGCCCGUACCGUAAACCGACACAGGUGGGUGGGAUGAGUAUUCUAAGGCGCGUGGAAGAACUCUCUUUAAGGAACUCUGCAAAAUAGCACCGUAUCUUCGGUAUAAGGUGUGGUUAGCUUUGUAUUAGGAUUUACUCCGAAAGCAAGGAAACUUACAACAAAGAGUCCCUCCCGACUGUUUACCAAAAACACAGCACUCUGCUAACUCGUAAGAGGAUGUAUAGGGUGUGACGCCUGCCCGGUGCUCGAAGGUUAAUUGAUGGGGUUAGCAUUAGCGAAGCUCUUGAUCGAAGCCCGAGUAAACGGCGGCCGUAACUAUAACGGUCCUAAGGUAGCGAAAUUCCUUGUCGGUUAAAUACCGACCUGCAUGAAUGGCGUAACGAGAUGGGAGCUGUCUCAAAGAGGGAUCCAGUGAAAUUGUAGUGGAGGUGAAAAUUCCUCCUACCCGCGGCAAGACGGAAAGACCCCGUGGACCUUUACUACAGCUUGACACUGCUACUUGGAUAAGAAUGUGCAGGAUAGGUGGGAGGCUUUGAGUAUAUGACGCCAGUUGUAUAUGAGCCAUUGUUGAGAUACCACUCUUUCUUAUUUGGGUAGCUAACCAGCUUGAGUUAUCCUCAAGUGGGACAAUGUCUGGUGGGUAGUUUGACUGGGGCGGUCGCCUCCCAAAUAAUAACGGAGGCUUACAAAGGUUGGCUCAGAACGGUUGGAAAUCGUUCGUAGAGUAUAAAGGUAUAAGCCAGCUUAACUGCAAGACAUACAAGUCAAGCAGAGACGAAAGUCGGUCUUAGUGAUCCGGUGGUUCUGUGUGGAAGGGCCAUCGCUCAAAGGAUAAAAGGUACCCCGGGGAUAACAGGCUGAUCUCCCCCAAGAGCUCACAUCGACGGGGAGGUUUGGCACCUCGAUGUCGGCUCAUCGCAUCCUGGGGCUGGAGCAGGUCCCAAGGGUAUGGCUGUUCGCCAUUUAAAGCGGUACGCGAGCUGGGUUCAGAACGUCGUGAGACAGUUCGGUCCCUAUCUGCCGUGGGCGUAAGAAGAUUGAAGAGAUUUGACCCUAGUACGAGAGGACCGGGUUGAACAAACCACUGGUGUAGCUGUUGUUCUGCCAAGAGCAUCGCAGCGUAGCUAAGUUUGGAAAGGAUAAACGCUGAAAGCAUCUAAGCGUGAAGCCAACUCUAAGAUGAAUCUUCUCUAAGCUCUCUAGAAGACUACUAGUUUGAUAGGCUGGGUGUGUAAUGGAUGAAAGUCCUUUAGCUGACCAGUACUAAUAGAGCGUUUGGCUUAUCUUU
rnacentral:rRNA from 1 species